rnacentral:lncRNA from 1 species
GUAAUGGUGUGUUUGUGGACACAUCUUCAAAUUCAGCAAAGAAGGAAGAAGACAAAGACAAUGAUGGUUGUAAAGGUGGAAAUGAAGAUGAAGAGGCAAAGAAGGUGGACAAGAAGGCCUCUACAAUUGUUAGGACUAGCAAUGAAGAGCAUGAAGAUGUUGAUGAUGAUGGUGAUGAGGAUUAUGAACCUUUGAGUGAGAAAAGACUAUCUUCAAAAGA